rnacentral:lncRNA from 1 species
CUUCUCGAUAGUGUGGCUACAGGGGGAUCAGACUGAGGAAGAAAGCAGCGUGUUUACACCUGGAUAUGUGCUGCGUAUACUCGGGUCAGAUCUCAAGGAGCAGAGGUUAUUCUUCAAGAUUUGUGCCAACUGUAUCACUAGUUAUUCCUCAGCUGAUCUUUCAGCAAUGUCUGCUGUUGAAGUAGGGUUCAUUGAGCUCUGCGGAGCACGGACACGGACAAGAACCCAGGGACAUGAUGGAGGAGUCCUGUCACUUCAUUUGGAUUAAUGGACAGUUCGUAUCUCCUGUCCUUUGAAGGUCUUCAGAGCUAGUCCUAUGGAAAUGGUUACCGAUGCUGUCAUGCUGAAGGGUAUACGAUAGGACUUCCUUUUUUCUGUCAUUGGAGAAACAUUUAACUUUUUCGUUUUUGUAGUUUUACAUGAAUGAUUGAGCUAUUGUAGGUUUUGGAUGUUGAAUAUGAGAUGCGUGUUAAAAUAAAAUUAAAAAAGUGGACAUUUUGGGGGCCUUUGUGACACUGUUAUGGAUGGGACAGAGGUGACAGGAAAGAAUGAGGAGCAUAGGGGGGAUGUGAUGAGGAAAUGAC